CUUGCUAUGAGCUGUUUUAGCGGCGGACGGGUGAGUAACGCGUGAGCAACCUGCCUUUCAGAGGGGGAUAACGUCUUGAAAAGGACGCUAAUACCGCAUGAUAUUAUGGAGCCACAUGGCUCUAUAAUCAAAGGAGCAAUCCGCUGAAAGAUGGGCUCGCGUCCGAUUAGGUAGUUGGCGGGAUAACAGCCCACCAAGCCGACGAUCGGUAGCCGGACUGAGAGGUUGAACGGCCACAUUGGGACUGAGAUACGGCCCAGACUCC
rnacentral:rRNA from 1 species